rnacentral:rRNA from 1 species
GACAGAGGAGGCAAGCGUUGUUCGGAAUUACUGGGCGUAAAGCGCGCGUAGGCGGACCUGCAAGUCGGGGGUGAAAGCCCGAGGCUCAACCUCGGAACUGCCUUCGAUACUGCGGGUCUCGAGUCCGGGAGAGGUGAGUGGAAUUCCUAGUGUAGAGGUGAAAUUCGUAGAUAUUAGGAAGAACACCAGUGGCGAAGGCGGCUCACUGGCCCGGUACUGACGCUGAGGCGCGAAAGCGUGGGGAGCAAACAGG